rnacentral:rRNA from 1 species
UACGUAGGGGGCGAGCGUUGUCCGGAUUUAUUGGGCGUAAAGAGCGUGUAGGCGGCCAAGUAGGUCCGGUGUGAAAACUCGAGGCUUAACCUCGAGAUGUCAUCGGAAACCAUUUGGCUAGAGUCCGGAAGAGGAAAGUGGAAUUCCUGGUGUAGCGGUGAAAUGCGCAGAUAUCAGGAGGAACACCGGUGGCGAAGGCCGAACUCUGGGCCUUGCCUUACGCUGAGGCGCGAAAGCUAGGGGAGCGAACAGG